GCCUGGGCGGAGGUACCUGCAAGUCGAGCGGAACGAUGGGAGCUUGCUCCCAGGCGUCGAGCGGCGGACGGGUGAGUAACACUUAGGAAUCUACCUAGUAGUGGGGGAUAGCUCGGGGAAACUCGAAUUAAUACCGCAUACGUCCUAUGGGAGAAAGGGGGCAGUUUACUGCUCUCGCUAUUAGAUGAGCCUAAGUCGGAUUAGCUAGUUGGUGGGGUAAAGGCCUACCAAGGCGACGAUCUGUAGCUGGUCUGAGAGGAUGAUCAGCCACACCGGGACUGAGACACGGCCCGGACUCCUACGGGAGGCAGCAGUGGGGAAUAUUGGACAAUGGGGGAAACCCUGAUCCAGCCAUGCCGCGUGUGUGAAGAAGGCCUUUUGGUUGUAAAGCACUUUAAGCAGUGAAGAAGACCUAACGGUUAAUACCCGUUAGCGAUGACAUUAGCUGCAGAAUAAGCACCGGCUAACUCUGUGCCAGCAGCCGCGGUAAUACAGAGGGUGCAAGCGUUAAUCGGAAUUACUGGGCGUAAAGCGAGCGUAGGUGGCUUGAUAAGUCAGAUGUGAAAUCCCCGGGCUUAACCUGGGAACUGCAUCUGAUACUGUUAAGCUAGAGUAGGUGAGAGGGAAGUAGAAUUCCAGGUGUAGCGGUGAAAUGCGUAGAGAUCUGGAGGAAUACCGAUGGCGAAGGCAGCUUCCUGGCAUCAUACUGACACUGAGGUUCGAAAGCGUGGGUAGCAAACAGGAUUAGAUACCCUGGUAGUCCACGCCGUAAACGAUGUCUACUAGUCGUUGGGUCCCUUGAGGACUUAGUGACGCAGCUAACGCAAUAAGUAGACCGCCUGGGGAGUACGGCCGCAAGGUUAAACUCAAAUGAAUUGACGGGGGCCCC
rnacentral:rRNA from 1 species